UUCCCAGUUGAGAGAGCUACAGAUGCUUUCAAUUCAUCAUGGAUUGAUAUAUCAUCUUAUUUUUGUAUGUCAAUAUCCUGAUUGAUUCAUAUGCUGGACUUUCUUGUUGAAGAGACAGGGAACGAAGGAUAAGGGACGAUCGUUACUCUCCAAGCCGAUCUAGAUCUGUUUUCAGAUCUGUUGCGCCCCGUGAUGAGAGAAAUUAUAGGUCGAACCAGAAGCCCCUGAAGCGUUCUAGAUCCAUUUCCAGGUCUCCUUGUCCACACGAAAAGAGGAAUUGCAGGUCCCCAAGCCCUCGAGAGAAUGAUUGAAGUCCCAGUGAAGAGAGGAUCAUGAAGUCAGGAGUCCUCGUUGAUUGGUGUUCAGCAUCUGCUCCUGCUGCCCUAUGGUCCUGUCAGAUUGUUCGUUUGCGGUGUGUGCUCCAUUCAAGUAAAGCUAGAUGGAUGGCUGUGUAUGUAGCACUUAAGUUGACGUUUGGUGGACUUUCUAUUUAUGAUUUUACAGUCAUGUUGGUUUUGGCAGACCAAUCUUUUCUCGGAGUGUAGUAGGAGUAUAUGUUUCAACGAGAUUGUCAAUAGUAGUUUGAGGAUGUUGUCGCUAAAUACCAUAUUCUGCUAAGUACCAUGUUCUGUUCCUGUGAGUCUCUCUCUCAAGAAUUCUUAUGCUACCUUGUAAUUUUUUAAGUUUUAUAUCAUCUUCCGGUAUGAAUGAUUUUCAGGCAUGAUGACGAAAA